GAUGAACGCUGGCGGCGUGCCUAACACAUGCAAGUCGAGCGAAAAGACGAUGAGCUUGCUCCCCUCACGUUGGCGGCGGGCGGGUGAGUCACACGUGCAUCCCCAACUUAUAUGUCUGGGAUAACUACGGAAAUCCGGAUACAAUACCAGAUCAUAUAUUGAACCGGAGGGAUCAAUAGAGAUAGACGGCUUUGGUGUCUCUAUUAGAUGGUUCCGCGCCGGAUUAGCUAGUUGGUAAGGUAACGGCCUACCAAGGCGACGAUGCGUAGCCGACCUGAGAGGGUGAUCGGCCACACUGGAACUGAGACACGGUCCAGACUCCUACGGGAGGCAGCAGUAGGGAAUCUUCGGCAAUGGGCGCAAGCCUGACGCAGCAACGCCGCGUGAGUGAUGAAGGUCUUCGGAUCGUAAAGCUCUGUUAUUAGGGAAGAACAGAUGUGUAAUAAACUAUGCCCGUAUUGACGGUACCUAAUCAGGAAGCACCGGCUAACUACGUG
rnacentral:rRNA from 1 species